UACCAGACUCCUACGGGAGGCAGCAGUGGGGAAUAUUGCACAAUGGGGGGAACCCUGAUGCAGCGACGCCGCGUGAGUGAAGAAGUAUUUCGGUAUGUAAAGCUCUAUCAGCAGGGAAGAAAAUGACGGUACCUGACUAAGAAGCCCCGGCUAACUACGUGCCAGCAGCCGCGGUAAUACGUAGGGGGCAAGCGUUAUCCGGAUUUACUGGGUGUAAAGGGAGCGCAGACGGCUGUGCAAGUCUGAAGUGAAAUGCCCGGGCUUAACCCCGGAACUGCUUUGGAAACUGUGCAGUUAGAGUGCAGGAGAGGUAAGUGAAUUCCUAGUGUAGCGGUGAAAUGCGUAGAUAUUAGGAGGAACACCAGUGGCGAAGGCGGCUUACUGGACAGUAACUGACGUUGAGGCUCGAAAGCGUGGGGAGCAAACAGGAUUAGAUACCCCGGUACU
rnacentral:rRNA from 1 species